UGAGGAAUAUUGGUCAAUGGGCGCAAGCCUGAACCAGCCAUCCCGCGUGCAGGAAGACGGCCCUAUGGGUCGUAAACUGCUUUUCCGGGGGGAGAAUUUUUCUGUCGUGACAGGAAUUGACGGUACCCUGGGAAUAAGCAUCGGCUAACUCCGUGCCAGCAGCCGCGGUAAUACGGAGGAUGCGAGCGUUAUCCGGACUUAUUGGGUUUAAAGGGUGCGUAGGCGGAUUGAUAAGUCAGUGGUGAAAACCUGCAGCUUAACUGUAGACUUGCCGUUGAUACUGUCAGUCUUGAGUGUGGUCAAGGUAGGCGGAAUGUGUAAUGUAGCGGUGAAAUGCUUAGAUAUUACACAGAACACCGAUUGCGAAGGCAGCUUACUGGGCCAUUACUGACGCUGAUGCACGAAAGCGUGGGGAUCGAACAG
rnacentral:rRNA from 1 species